GAUGAACGCUGGCGGCGUGCCUAAUACAUGCAAGUCGAGCGAACGGACGAGAAGCUUGCUUCUCUGAUGUUAGCGGCGGACGGGUGAGUAACACGUGGAUAACCUACCUAUAAGACUGGGAUAACUUCGGGAAACCGGAGCUAAUACCGGAUAAUAUUUUGAACCGCAUGGUUCAAAAGUGAAAGACGGUCUUGCUGUCACUUAUAGAUGGAUCCGCGCUGCAUUAGCUAGUUGGUAAGGUAACGGCUUACCAAGGCAACGAUGCAUAGCCGACCUGAGAGGGUGAUCGGCCACACGGGAACUGAGACACGGUCCAGACUCCGACAGGGGGCAGCAGUAGGGAAUCUUCCGCAAAGGGCGAGAGCCGGACGGAGCAACGCCGCGUGAGUGAUGAAGGACUUCGGAUCGUAAAACUCUGUUAUUAGGGGAGAACAUAUGUGUAAGUAACUGUGCACAUCUUGACGGUACCUAAACAGAAAGCCACGGCUAACUACGUG
rnacentral:rRNA from 1 species